AUACGGAGGAUGCGAGCGUUAUCCGGAUUUAUUAGGUUUAAAGGGUGUGUAGGCGGUAUUUUAAGUCAGUGGUGAAAUCUCGGAGCUUAACUUCGAAACUGCCAUUGAUACUGGAAUACUUGAGUAUAGUUGAGGUAGGUGGAAUAUGUAAUGUAGCGGUGAAAUGCAUAGAUAUUACAUAGAACACCGAUUGCGAAGGCAGCUUACUAAACUAUUACUGACGCUGAUGCACGAAAGCGUGGGGAGCGAACAGAAUUAGAAACCCCAGUAGUCC
rnacentral:rRNA from 1 species